rnacentral:miRNA from 1 species
UUUUGUAUGUAUUAUCUGGAAUU